GAUGAACGCUGGCGGCAUGCCUAAUACAUGCAAGUCGAACGAGAGGAAGGAAAGCUUGCUUUUCUGAAUCUAGUGGCGAACGGGUGAGUAACACGUAGGUAACCUGCCCAUGUGCCCGGGAUAACUUCUGGAAACGGAUGCUAAAACCGGAUAGGUAGCAGACAAGCAUUUGACUGCUAUUAAAGUGGCUAAGGCCAUGAACAUGGAUGGACCUGCGGUGCAUUAGCUAGUUGGUGAGGUAACGGCGCACCAAGGCGACGAUGCAUAGCCGGCCUGAGCGGGCGGACGGCCACAUUGGGACUGAGACACGGCCCAAACUCCUACGGGAGGCAGCAGUAGGGAAUUUUCGUCAAUGGGGGGAACCCUGAACGAGCAAUGCCGCGUGAGUGAGGAAGGUCUUCGGAUCGUAAAGCUCUGUUGUAAGAGAAAAACGACAUUCAUAGGGAAUGAUGAGUGAGUGAUGGUAUCUUACCAGAAAGUCACGGCUAACUACGUGCCAGCAGCCGCGGUAA
rnacentral:rRNA from 1 species